AUGUGUGAUCAUGCAAUCCUGACAAGAUUAGGGUAUACUGUGCGACGAAGAAAGAUAUAUAAAUUAGUUCCAUUUUUUCACUGUUUCUUUUGCAAUCGUAUAUCAUCUUAAUUAGAUCCUGAACUUUGUUCCUAUAUUCCAUUUAAACAUCGAAAGAGAUAAAUAAACGUUUGCAAAUUCUGUUCAGUAAAUAAAACCACUAACGUGAUACUUGUUAAAUAAUUUCAGUAAUUUCUGUGGAAUCAAAUAAAUUUAUUUUUUAUUAAUAUUAUUCAGAAAAGGAUUGCUUUUGGUGCAACAUCAGGAAUCCUCAACCUUUCUGAGAAUUUCGAAGAGUUUCAGUUACGUCUUAUUGUUACGUUCUAUUUAGUUGACGACGAGAAGGUAGCGUUAACUGACAUUUAAUGUAACUGGCAAUAAGUUCCACUUUCGACUAACCUGCUAUGUGCGGGAACACUGGCACGGGAGAGGAUUAAAGUUGUUCCAAAGUAAAUUAACAAUAUGUAAUGAUUUAUUCAAACCUUCCUCGAUUUCGAUAUUGACAAUUGACUGACAGACUGACGGAUAUAAAAUUUUUCGGUUGACAAAAUGGUAAUUCUUUGCUUGACAAAAUGAUGAUUCUUCGAUUGACAAAAUGAUAACUAACUCUUCAACUCUUAUUCGGUUGACGAAGGGUAAUUAAUUAUUGAUUUCUCUGAGUCGCUACAUUUAUUUAUAUCUGUCGGAAAUGAAGAAACGUCGGGGUCUUUCUUUUGAAAAUGUUUGGGAAGAUCCCCAAUGUUUGUUCAAACUGCCGACUUUGUUUACAAUUUAAAUUGUCUUACUAUCGUUAUAAAAAUAUAGUUAGAUAAGUUUUCGCAAGAUAUAGCUUUUAACAGCUUUACACUUUUCAUUUCAAAUACUGUAAACAUGAUUUCAAAUAAACGUUUUAAAUUACCUUGA